AAAGAAAUUAACGAUACAUAGAAAGUUUCUAGAAACAAACUGAACCCUUCUUCUUCGUGGAAGUUCAAUACACAACAAUCUUCUUCUUCUUCUUCACUGCAAUUCAUCACCUUUUUCACUGCACCUUCAUCACAUUUGAACCCUUCAUCACCUUCGAAAUUGGUAAAGCUUGAAACCCUAACUUUCAUAGAAAUUAAACUGCUUCACUCAAACUUGAAAGAAUGAACCGUUCCCUUCGCUGCAAACCUGGGGGUCCUGCUCCUCUAAGCGGGGACAAUUCAAGAAGAAUUAAGAGACGAACCAUUCCCUUCACUCAUUCAUGAUUGCUACCUUGUGUACAUUCUCACUGAAAUGGCUGGAAGUACAUCAAAUGACUGAAAUAGUGUUCACUCGGACAUGUGAUGCAACUCAUCUUCUUGCUUAGAUUCUUAGGAAUCUCGAUUUGAAAGCCAUCCCAAUUAAUGGUCAUGUGAGUCAGGUAUUUCCUGUUGCUCAAAAGGGAUUUGUGGAUUCAAUCCUUUUACAACGUUUGUGUGCUAUAGAAUUAUUUUAUAAUCUGAGGUUCUACACAAACUUAUAAGCUAUGAGGUUUGGCACAUCUCUCACUCUUCAUUCUCAAACACAGGAAAUCCACACAAAGGUUCAAGUUAUUGACAUCUAUCUAGCUAGUCUCUUUUUAAUCCACACAAAGAGCUGCAUUCGUUGAGGUUGUUGCCAAUGUUGCACUUUUGCUACAUGAAGGUGUGAAGGUCUGUGCUCAAAUCAGUCCGGUUUUGCAAGAGGUCAAGGCUGUACAAAAUGCUGCUUAUAAAGUUGAUUGGUAUGUUGUCUAUAUAGUAUGCAAUAUGUCACAAUCCGGAAGUUGUUCAUGAGUGUUGGAAGAGUGAAUUUCACAUGUCUAUAUAACUGGUUAUAUAGAAUUGGAAGAGUCUGCAACUCUGCAUCAAUAUACUUUGUUGGAACUGAAUUUUACAUUGACAAAAGUAUUUACUGACUAGACGUUCACAUUUGAUCAUAUUCAAUUUUAGAGCCAAAAGCAACAAAUAGUUAUGAGUGCGACUAUUAUGUCAUGAUACACAUGUUGAACAUUGUAUCUGCUGGUGUUGUUGGUUCAUGGACCCAAGUACCGUUACAAUUUUAAUGAUAUGCAGUUGCCCCAACACAUCAAGAUUUAGUAAUUGUAAUUGUUUUUCAAGACUUAGAAUAAUUCAUUAUUGUGUUGGUUCUCUGUAUUUUUAGAAUUGUAAUUAGUUUGUAGUUAGUUACUUAUUUCUUCAUGAGUGAUAUUACCCCUUAAAUUAGAUUUUAAAUUUGUUCUUAUGUAAUUUAAAUUGGGCAAAAUAGAUUACUCAUUAGGAUUGGAUAUUUGGUUGGCAAAUGCAGAGCUACUGUAUUUGCAUUGGCUAUUUUUUUUUUAAAUUACAGUAACACUUCUUAGGUCGGGUAAAACUUUAACUGACUUAAGAAGUCAGUUUUUAAGUCAGGUCAAAUCUGACUUAAGAAAGUCAAACUUCUUAUGUCGCCUUUUCUUAAGUCAUUGUACGGGACCGACUUAAAACAUCAUUUUAACCAACUUAAAAAGUAUUUCUUAAGUCUGUUCAAAUCUGACUUAAGAAGUCACUACUUCUUAUGACUAGAAUUGUUAGGUCAGGCUCGGAACCGACUUAAGAAGUCAAUUCUAACCGACCUAAGAAGUGUU